GAUCCUGGCUCAGAUUGAACGCUGGCGGCAGGCUUAACACAUGCAAGUCGAGCGGGGAGAUGUAGCUUGCUACAUAUCCUAGCGGCGGACGGGUGAGUAAUGCUUAGGAAUCUGCCUAUUAGUGGGGGACAACAUUCCGAAAGGAAUGCUAAUACCGCAUACGCCCUACGGGGAAAGCAGGGGAUCUUCGGACCUUGCGCUAAUAGAUGAGCCUAAGUCGGAUUAGCUAGUUGGUGGGG
rnacentral:rRNA from 1 species